CAACAACAACAACAACAACAACAACAAUGGCAACACUAUCCACAUCAUUAACAACAACGACUACCAUUAUUAUUAUUAUUAUGAUUACCAAAAUGAUGGUGCUAUUAGGAAUUCUAAACCUGGCCACAGCGCUGCCGGAUUUUACCCGAAUGGCAAUCGUGCAAAAUUGUCAGAAUCACACAUAUGGUCCCAACUGCCAAUUCAAAUGUGGUCACUGUUCACAAAACUUCACUUGCAAUGAACAGACAGGUGCUUGCAAUGGCGGAUGUCAAAUCGGUUGGUCAGGAAA